rnacentral:rRNA from 1 species
UACGUAGGGGGCUAGCGUUGUCCGGAAUCAUUGGGCGUAAAGCGCGUGUAGGCGGUCCGGUAAGUCCGCUGUGAAAGCCAGGGGCUCAACCCUUGGAUGCCGGUGGAUACUGUCGGGCUUGAGUACGGAAGAGGCGAGUGGAAUUCCUGGUGUAGCGGUGAAAUGCGCAGAUAUCAGGAGGAACACCAAUUGCGAAGGCAGCUCGCUGGGACGUUACUGACGCUGAGGUGCGAAAGCGUGGGGAGCAAACAGG